rnacentral:lncRNA from 1 species
AGACUUGGUUUCAUGUGCUUCAAGAAGAUCUUCCCUUCUUCCCAGAUUUUUUUUUCUUUAUUUUCCCAGAUUUGCAAAAUCUGAGGCAGGUUUUAUUGCAGAAGACCUAUGCUUUUUUGGGAAGCUCAUUUUAAACCUUCAUUCAAUUGGCUCAGCUGAAGUGAGAUCUUGAAUGAUUUUAGACAUUUGGGAAUGGAAGACAAGGUGAUGUGGAGACUAGAGCAUAGCUGCCUCAUUACUCUUGGUCUAGCCCAAGGUGAGAAACCAAAGAAGGAGGCUCAGGGAGAUCUGGAAAUACCAGGAUAUAGCCGAUGUAAGCAAAAUCAACUUUAAAUGCUUGCUACAAAUGUCUGGAAGUUAAUGGAAAAGGUUUUGUGACACAAAUGGCCGUCUUGGAGAAACUUGGAAAUGACUUAUGUUUACUUCAGUUUUGAUGUUGAAUGUUAUAGUCUGAGCAGUGGAGCCAGGCAGUACCCAAAUGUGUGCACACACUCACAGGGCUAAUCUUCACUGAACCGUUUUCUUUGCAAAGCAAAGGUAACUGUAAGAAACUGUGAACUGCAUAGAUUUAUUGGAAAAUGAAGACUUGGGUAAUCUGUGUAUAUAAAAUGCAUGAAUCCUGGUUGGUUUUGUGUUUCUGUACUGGAUACUGUUUUGAGUCCCUCGUUCCAAUAAGGACACCAGCUGGCAAAGAUGGCUGAGGAUUAUAAAUUACAGAAACCAUUUUAAAGAAAGCUCGAAAGAAGGAGUGAAAGAUAUGAGGAAGGAAAUUGAUUGCGCAGCCCCUCAAGGACGAGCAACUGAUUUGGAGGAAAAAGGGAAAAACACGUUCCAAAAAAUAACUGAACUGGUAGAGAAAGUGUUGGAUACUGAGAAAGUACAUAUGUGAAAGAGACCUGACCUAUGAGACCUGAGCCCAGAAAGAGGUUCAGGAAAGGGAAAUGCGUAUAGAUUUCUAAUGUCUUUGUGUGUGGGUGUGUGUGUGUGCACAUUCAUGCGUGUGUGUGUGUGUGUAUAUAUAUAUUUAUGUGAGGGUCUUGUGCUGUCUAAAAAAGAACUGUAUGUGGAAAUCUUGUCAAAAC